ACCCUCUCCCUGCAUGCAUGCUUGUACUAUAAUAAAAGUGCCUCCGGCUGCCUGAUCCAAAAAUCAAUGGUGUGGUCAAUUUUUCCACAACAAUUUGGGGGCUCGUCCGGGAUCCACAGAUGGCAUCCCUGGAUCGGAGGACCGCGAGCGGUUCCCUUCCAGACCCCGGGCCCAUCUGAAAGUUUUCAUCUAUGCAAAUAACUCCCAGGAGAAGAGCGUGGGGCCUCCAGAGCAGCAGGAGGCCAUGGAAGAUCCAGUAUAGCAGGAAAGAGUGUGGCAAGGAAGGAAGCCUCUCUCUAGCCUAAUGUGGGGAAGGGCAAAAGAAAACAUGGGAAUCCAAAAGUGAGAAGAAUAAGCAGAGUUUGAAAGGUGAUGAGCACAACAUACAAUUUUUCAUAUUUGUAAAUUGUAUUCCAAGAAUAAAACUGUUGUGCAUGGGGGUGGGGUUUGCUACGGAUCUGUGAUGAUCAGAUACGUGCUUUCUUAAAUCAAUAUCAAAUCCACUUAAAGAUAGAUUAGCAACACUCACAAAUCCUCUCUUCUUAGUGGAUGCCUCCUGCAGACAAAUAACCCCUUUCUCUAUGCCAUCAAAUAUAUCCAGGACAAUAACAAAAUCACUUAAGCAUGUCCUUAUAAAAGCUGAAGUAAUGAAAAUGCAGUAACUCACAUAAGAAUGUGUAAAUGAGAUGGGAUCAGCUGGAACACACAGAAAGCCAGUGGCCUUCCUUGGCCCAUAUCUAGUCCUGACAAUCAAUAUAGGUCUGUCUUAUGCGGGAAGCCUUAAUAAAAAUUACAAUAUUCAAGUCAAA